rnacentral:rRNA from 1 species
GACGAACGCUGGCGGCGUGCUUAACACAUGCAAGUCGAACGGAAAGGCCCUGCUUUUGUGGGGUGCUCGAGUGGCGAACGGGUGAGUAACACGUGAGUAACCUGCCCUUGACUUUGGGAUAACUUCAGGAAACUGGGGCUAAUACCGGAUAGGAGCUCCUGCUGCAUGGUGGGGGUUGGAAAGUUUCGGCGGUUGGGGAUGGACUCGCGGCUUAUCAGCUUGUUGGUGGGGUAGUGGCUUACCAAGGCUUUGACGGGUAGCCGGCCUGAGAGGGUGACCGGCAAAUUGGGGACGAGGUACGGGCCCAAACUCUUACGGGAGCAGGCAGUGGGAAUAAUGGCACAUGGGCGGAAGCCUGAUGCAGCAACGCCGCGUGCGGGAUGACGGCCUUCGGGUUGUAAACCGCUUUCGCCUGUGACGAAGCGUGAGUGACGGUAAUGGGUAAAGAAGCACCGGCUAACUACGUG